rnacentral:lncRNA from 1 species
GGGAUGACAGUUGUUAUGUCAGGGUGAAAUUUAAUGUUACAAGAUGAUCACCCAAACCAUGAGAGGGCGGAUGUCAAGAAUUUUCCUGAUGUUUUCCUCAUGGCAUUCUAUUCUAUUUUAGCCUCAUGCACCAGAUCAGCUAUCCAAGAUUGAAUACAAAUGGAAUGUACUUGCUGGAAAGAAAUGAAAAAAUAUAUCUCACAACAUUGCACAUGGUGCGAGGACAUUGAGGAAAGUGAGAAAACUGAAGGUCCAGUAGGUUAGGUGAUCACUAACCUCCAGCCAUGUUUGUGAGGCUUCUAAAUGCCUGCUGUUUCCACGGGAUACAACUCAGAAGACUGGAUGCUAACCAAGACGUAUCUCUCUGGGGAAGUGUGUUUUCAACAAUUCGAAUAUACAGAAGCAUUUCCUUUUAGCUUUCUUUUGUUUUCAUUCAGCAAUUGUGAC